GCAAGUCGAGGGGUAGAGAGUUCUUCGGAGUUAUGAGACCGGCGCACGGGUGCGUAACGCGUAUGCAAUCUACCUUUUACAGAGGGAUAGCCCAGAGAAAUUUGGAUUAAUACCUCAUAGUAUUGCAGAAUGGCAUCAUUCAGCAAUUAAAGUCACAACGGUAAAAGAUGAGCAUGCGUCCCAUUAGCUAGUUGGUAAGGUAACGGCUUACCAAGGCUACGAUGGGUAGGGGUCCUGAGAGGGAGAUCCCCCACACUGGUACUGAGACACGGACCAGACUCCUACGGGAGGCAGCAGUGAGGAAUAUUGGACAAUGGGCGCAAGCCUGAUCCAGCCAUGCCGCGUGCAGGAUGACGGUCCUAUGGAUUGUAAACUGCUUUUAUACGAGAAGAAACACUCCUUCGUGAAGGAGCUUGACGGUAUCGUAAGAAUAAGGAUCGGCUAACUCCGUGCCAGCAGCCGCGGUAAUACGGAGGAUCCAAGCGUUAUCCGGAAUCAUUGGGUUUAAAGGGUCCGUAGGCGGUUUAAUAAGUCAGUGGUGAAAGCCCAUCGCUCAACGGUGGAACGGCCAUUGAUACUGUUAGACUUGAAUUAUUAGGAAGUAACUAGAAUAUGUAGUGUAGCGGUGAAAUGCUUAGAGAUUACAUGGAAUACCAAUUGCGAAGGCAGGUUACUACUAAUGGAUUGACGCUGAUGGACGAAAGCGUGGGUAGCGAACAGGAUUAGAUACCCUGGUAGUCCACGCCGUAAACGAUGGAUACUAGCUGUUGGGUGCAAACUCAGUGGCUAAGCGAAAGUGAUAAGUAUCCCACCUGGGGAGUACGUUCGCAAGAUG
rnacentral:rRNA from 1 species